CAUUCCUCUUCCUCCCUCCCUCGUGAAAGGCGGUUCCGAAGGAGCCACUAGUAAAGGUAACGAGGAAAGCAUGAACAAAAAGAGAAGGUAAUUGUGAUAAAGAUGGCAAGGAAAAGCUCAUCCAGGUUCAUCUUGGAAUGUCAAUGUUAGAAGCAGCCCACGAAAAUGACACAGAACCUGAAGUCAACAGUUACUUAUUUGCCUAAGAACCUCUGAGUAGUCAUGUACUUGAUCAUCUCCAAUUAUCAAAUACUACGGAGCAUGUGAGGGCUCGCUAGUUUGCUCUACCUGCCAUGUGAUUGUGAUGGAUAUGGAAUACCGCAACAAAUUGGAAGAUCCAACAGAUGAAGAAAAUGACAUGUUAUAUCUAGCAUUUGGACUUACUGAAAUGUCUUGCCUUGGUUGCCAAGUGAUCGCAAAGCCUGAGCUUGAUGGGAUGCAGUUAGCGGGUAGCCGAGACUUUGCUGUUGAUUGGUAUGUACCAAAACCACACUGAAUGUGUUGACAUACCUUUGGGUUGUAAAGACUGCAUUCAAACUGUAGUUUUGCAGUUGGUGCUGCACAGACAAUUUUGAUCUUUAACAUGCAAAAUAUCAAAAUCAUAUGUGCCAUUAUUUUACAACUAUCGUUCAAUAUUUCAAGUCAUUUAUUAAGCUCUGUGGACUCCUUAUUGGAGACAAAGCUUUCUUUGUAUUCAACUUUUGUUUUAGAUAUGUACGAGGUGCUAACAUAAAAAUCUUCUCUCUUACACUGCAAUCAGUUGGGUAUGAUUUUCUGAACUCCAGCAUCUUUUUUUUCCUGUUACUGACCGAAUUUUUUCUCAACCAAAAACCCCACUAAAUCUCAGACUUAUUGAAGCCUUAAGCUUCCCAUUUGUGUUCGAUAAUUUAAGCUACAAAAUGAUUAUUAUCGACAUAUUUUUAUGUGCUGAGCCUGUGAAAGUAAUUGCAUGUUGUGUUUCCCCCCUCUCUUUGUUGUACAUGCACUAAGUCAUUCAUCCUAGGAAGCAAGUUCUCAAGCCAUUUUGGGGGAUUUUUCCUGCAUGAUAAUCUCAUUCUGAUGACUCAUGUAUAUAUUGUUUGCAUCUGAGUGGUUAAAGAAGUUGCCUACCAAUAAUAGAAAGGAAGACAUACUUAUGACUCCAGACUCAGCGCAGUCCUUAUCUGAUUGCAAGGACCUCAACCUCACCUGAGCUCAGCUCAUGUUGAGUUAUUUGUUCUGGUCCAUCCCAUUCUAGAUAUAACAUGGUUUGGCCUUUUAUUGCACUGCCUUUCUUGGUUCACUAUGUCAAGGUUUCUACGUUGCUUUUAUUUAUAUGAUUUUGCCUAGGAAUUUAAAUAUAGACACCUGGAUGAAACAAUGGCUUUUCCAAGCUAAAAUGGAUUUAUGAUAGCAAUCAAAAGCUGAGUAACAAGAGUCUUAUAAACUCAGAAGAUCUGGACCUACCACAGCCCUUCCCUUUGUCAGUUCUGAAACUUAGGUUCAAUCUUGGCUUGCAGCUCUGCUCUUUGGACCACUCUAUGCCCAAAACAAGGCAUGGAGACCAAGUGGCCCAUAUAUCUAGCCUGGGUAAUGUUUGCCAAUGCUCUAUUUUUUUUUUAUUUCAUUGGUGUUUUUGGUAUUGCAUAAUACUUUUGUUGGUUCCUUCUAUUAACACUUGAAAAUUUCAUUGAAGCGUUGUACCUCUAAUUAAUUCUGACCUUAUGACACAUGGGAAGUAGUGGCAAAAUAUUUUAUUGAAGCAACUGUUAAAGUGAUAUUUGUUUUAUCAAGUCAAGCUCUUCAUGAAACAUGUUCAUGUAUAUCAUUAUUAGGAAGGGUGUGCAUAUAGCUUGUGUGAAGCUGUAAAGGACAAUGAACAAAAAAUUGUUUUAUAGGUGUAUAGCGAUAAAUACGGAACUAAAUAAGCAUAGCGAUAAAUACGGAACUAAAUAAGCAUACCAGUUUGGUGUUGGAACUUAUGGAGAAUUGUAACAAAAGUUCACCUGGAAGAGUUUCAUAAUGAUUAAGCAUAUAUCCAGAGAGAAAAUUGUUGCCAUAACCAUGAUCUUUAUAAAAGUCUUAUCUCAAGCACAUCAAACCUAAUGUCUUAAAGACAAUUCUCGUAAAGAACAAUUUGAGACUCAUUGGCAAUGCUAUUUAAAGUUAAGCAUAUGCCUCGGAUAAGGAGGCUCAUACAAAGAGUGCAUUGUCCACCGUAUUGUUUACAUCUCUUGUAAAUGCAUUAAGCUUUGAUGGAGGAAAAUGAGACAUUUAUAUUUUACAUUAUGUUGAUCACUCCACACUAUAAGCAGUGCACAAACUCAAAUUUAGUAAUGUUGAAAGAAAGCAAUGGUAAUGUAUUUUCUUCAUGAUUCAUGAACAUCGAGAUGAUGCGACUUAGAUCAAUACUUGCAAGUGUUUGGUAUAAUAACUACUUAACUAGCACCAAACCCUUAUCCCCUUUAAGCUGUUUUCCUUUAAUUGAAUUUGAAUGAUUUCUGAGAUUUUCUUUUCUAUAAGCAAAGUAUUUGAAAAAUAAUUUCUUCAGCAUGUUUGGCUUUAAAAGGGGAAUAUAUUUUGUUUCUUUAGAAAGGAAGUGCUUUAUAAGAUGAGGAAACAUCGACCUUCAGAAGAAUUUGAUGGCAAAAGAUGUGGGUAUAGCUUGGAAUUGGAUAUCUAUAUCUGAAAAUCCUUUUGGAAAGUAGCCCAAUUUUGCUUAUUGAUGGGAACUAAAGUUAUCAAGAGUCAAAGUUUCUUUGGAUUUCUUAUUAGUUUAUGAAUUUGGUUUUAAAUUUUGAGAGCUAAUGAUGCUAUGAAGAAUUACAGUUGGAGUUGGAUUGGUUGUGGAUAGACUUGAAAUAAACAGUUAAGAUGCUAUCUAUUAAAUCCAAGGCCAAGUGAUCUACAUUUACAUAAACUUAUUCCUGCGUGUAUGUAGGUAAGGAAAAUAUUUCAAACAUGCACCUUAUCCUUGAUGCAUAUGCAUUGCUUAAUCAAGUGUCAUAUACCUUGGUUUAUUCCACAUUUUUUAGCAAUAUCAUAAUGGUAGUAAGAACCCUUUUCUUUAAGAUUUUGAUGAGCUUUAACCAUCCUUCUCGAGCUUUCGUUCCUUUAGAAGUUAGAUCUCAUGCCAUUGCCAUUUGAUAGACCUUUCAUUUGUGUUGUUUUAGGUUGUCUCUACUCUUUGUGACCUUUUGACCAACAUCAAACUUAAGUCUCUAUCUUUUAGGUCUUCUCUACUCAUGUCUCAUCUUACAAAGCGUUUAUUUUGUGUGCCCCUUGCUGCCCACCAUUAUAUCCUAAAAUUAUACAAAGCUAUGGAAUUUGAAUAAUUUGAGACAAGGAUAUAAAAACCGGAGGAACAAGAUAGUACUAUUAGUGUUCUACUACUCCAGUGCGAAAUCGGUACCGAGGCGUCGAAAGAAGUAGAGCAAGGGUGGGGCAGUGCUGGAGGAGGACAUGGCAGACCUUUGAAGCAUGGCGGAAUAGGGCCUCCUACCCUAUGGCCGAGCUGGGGAACGCGAGGUUCGUGUAAAGAGAUAAAGAGGGCUGGGGAGCAGCAAUGACUCAAGAAGGAGAGGGGUAGAGGGGAGUUAGGUUUCCUCCUCCUUGACUUAGCAUACCUGGAUUUAGUGCCAAACUGGGUCUUUUUUGCACCAUACAUGUAGGAUAGGCGGUUUAUUAGGAGCUAUAGUGAUCAUUUUACCCCAUUGCAGUUUAUCAAAAUCCAAGUUGUGGGGUGGUCAGGAUGCACCCCAUCCCGAGCAUGAAGAUGCACGUUCCACAAGAAAACCAAUAUGCCCCCAUAUUGUGAUUUUUGAGUUCUUGGUUUGAAAUUAUGAAGGAAAAAGUAAUAAAUUAUGUAAGAUAUUAGUAGAAUAAUACAAAGUAAAA